AUUGACAAUCAUUUUAAUUUUAAUUGUCUAACCUUUUUGCAGACAUAUGAAAGAUCAUGUAUUCAAAAGUGGAUAGACAUACCUUGCAGUACCAGGGAUUGCGUGUCCUCGUCCAGUAACAGGUUGGUGAUUUAUGGCUUGUUCGGAGAUUCAAAUGGCUGUAAAGAAUGAAGAUUAUGUAACUAUAUGGGUGUCUAAGAUAUGGACAGACAGUCACUUAACAUUUUCAGUAUGCGACUUCUAGGGGCUUAGGUUUGUUUUCUAUAUACUUAAUUUCUCUGCCAGAACAUUAUUUUGCUAUAGGACAUAAUUUCUUUUAGGCAUAUAAAUCAAUAUCAUUAAUGCUCAA